UUUCCGUAGGUGAACCAGCGGAGGGAUCAUUACUGAGUUUACAACUCCCAACCCAUGUGAACAUACCUUUUGUUGCUUCGGCGGGAUGCCCCCGGCGCCUAGUGUGCCCGGGAAUCAGGCCCCCGCCGGAGGACCCAAACUCUUGUUUUUCUAUAGAACUUCUGAGUGGAUUAUUUUAAUAAUUAAAACUUUCAACAACGGAUCUCUUGGUUCUG
rnacentral:misc_RNA from 1 species